AGCUCGUGUCGUGAGAUGUUGGGUUAAGUCCCGCAACGAGCGCAACCCUUGUCUUUAGUUGCCAUCAUUAAGUUGGGCACUCUAGAGAGACUGCCAGGGAUAACCUGGAGGAAGGUGGGGAUGACGUCAAAUCAUCAUGCCCCUUAUGCUUAGGGCUACACACGUGCUACAAUGGGUAGUACAGAGGGUUGCCAAGCCGUAAGGUGGAGCUAAUCCCUUAAAGCUACUCUCAGUUCGGAUUGUAGGCUGAAACUCGCCUACAUGAAGCUGGAGUUACUAGUAAUCGCAGAUUAGAAUGCUGCGGUGAAUGCGUUCCCGGGUCUUGUACACACCGCCCGUCACACCCCGGGAGUUGGAGACGCCCGAAGCCGAUUAUCUAACCUUUUGGAAGAAGUCGUCGAAGGUGGAAUCAAUAACUGGGGUGAAGUCGUAACAAGGUAGCCGUAUCGGAAGGUGCGGCUGGAUCACCUCCUUUCUAAGGA
rnacentral:rRNA from 1 species